rnacentral:lncRNA from 1 species
UUUUUAUGUUGUCUUUUCUUGUCCACAAGUAUGGAAAGAUUCUAAUUCCUUCCAAGAAAUUUUUUCAUUUUGUGAGCUUGUUGGUGUAUCUUAAUGGAAGAUGAGUUUGGAUGAUGUGAUUAUUUUUAGCUUAAUGAUUUAAUGAUGAUGGUAAUUUGCAUGUGCAACUAGAAAGGGGUCAGAUGCUGACAGUAUCUCCAUAUCUAGUAAAGAGGUGCAAACAACAUUUCCAUCAUCUACAACAGUAUGGAAUCGACCUCAUACUUGGUUGUAAUGGCUUCAUCUGGGUUGGUGAACAUGUCGAAACUAAAGAUAACAUGGUAGAAGACGAACCGAUUAAACCCCCAAACAAAUCACAAACAACCCUUAAAGAACAAGAAUACACCUACACUCCAUUAAAAACCAGGCAAAACAUAUGCAGGGUUGCAAAUGCUAUCAGGGUGUUGUCAACAUUGGGAUUUAGCAUUACACUUGAUGUGAUUCAGGAGGUUGUUGAUCUGAGCAGCUCCAAGGGCCUGAAUAUACAUGAGAUGCUUACUGCUGAGUUUUCUGUCUUGGUUGCUGAAAGAGAAGCUGAGCGAAUAAGCUCCUCAACCUCAACUCGAAGAAAACGAUAAAUUCAUAUAUAUAUAUAUAUAUAUAUAUAUAGGGUUAGGUUAUUUUGUUUCUAGUAACUAUUAUGUGCCAGNACCAUUAAAUAGUUUCUACUCCUUACUCCUUAAUACAAAACUAAUCUGUAUCAUUCCUAUUGAAGGAUUUAUUUGGUUGUGGAAUGUGGAUCAACUUGAAUUUUUUCUCUUUCUUUCACAGCUGUAACAAUUUUGUUUCUGCUAGCAUUUGCAUUUCAUGAGAUUUACAACACAGUUUAUAUCUUUUACUUGUAAAUGCUUGAUUUUCUUGCAGCCAUUAUGAAUUUAUGAUACAUGAUAGGUGUGCAGCUGUAAUGAAAAUAUGUCAAAUACUCACUUAACUUGAAGUGGGCAAGGUACCCAUACAAUUAAGAGGAAGAAAUGGUCUUUUAGAGUUGUAGGUUCUUUUUUAGUGCAAGGUAAAAUGACGGUUUAUUUGAUGUAAGAAUCUAAAAAACCCCCCAAAAAUGAAAAUGAAAAAAAGAAAAACUUAUAUAGACAAAUCUAAUAUUGUCUUCCAACAAUUAUUUAGGUGUUUAUCUUUUGGGAAAUAUAAAAAAACUUAAAGGGUAAGUGGGUAAAUGUGUUAUAUAGCUAGUUCUAUAUUUUGGUUUAGGUUAUAGAAACGACAUUUUUGGGCUGUUUUCCAUUUUAGGGGUUUUAUUAGGUUUUGCUCCUUUCUAUUGGGUUAUUGCCAAUGGAUUAUUAAAUUUUCCAUAUAUUUUAUGAUUUCUCAUUACUAUAUUUACAUGGGUGUCGAAAUAGUAUACAGCCAUAGAAGACGGACUAAAUAAAAUAUAAGUCAUUAACGGGUGGCCAAUUUCACAGAUGAGUCAUAGAAGAGGGACUAAAUCAAAUAUAAGUCAUAUAUAAGGGGCCAAAUUCACAGUUAAGUCAUAGGAGAGGAGGGACUAUAUCACAGAUAUAAUCAAAAGAGUGAAGUGGAUUACUCCUUGUACUUACGAAUACAACUAUCUGCUCCUCACGUCGACUCUACCCUGCUCGCCGUCGCCUCCCCUUUUGAAGUCACCGGCCGGAGACAUUCGAUAGCCACAACUCCGUCGCACCCAACCCCAGGUUCUAUUCUUCCUUCUUUUCUCUUCUUUAUUCUUUUUUCUGCUUUCUUUGAAAUCGCUGUUGGUCGAUUUCAUUUUAUGCAAAAGGUUUUCUUUUCCUGUGAUUUCAAUCUUCACAUACGAAAUUAGUAUUUUUUUUUUUAAUAUCAAUCGUCAAGUUCAAGUUCUUCCCUGGAAUUCUGUUAGGUGAUUUCUUACUUUCAUUGAUAAUUGAUUUCUACGACUAUUUUGCUGCUACUGAUUUGCUAAUUGUGUUUAAUGUUUAAAUGUAUGAAAUCUGAUGUGUCUAGUGUUCUGUAAAAAACUGGAAUGUGUUUGCAUGCGAUCUGUUUGAUCAAUGCCUGAGAGGGAUAGUACUUAUGCAUGUUUUCACUUAUCAAUUAUAAUAUACAUAUUUUAAUGUUUAACUUUUGAAUUUUUAUGUUGGUAACUUGGGAAUGAACAAUAGAUGCUACGGAGUUGCUACUGAUUUCCUCCUAGUGUUUCUGAAUGAUGUUCCUAAGAUGCUUAUAUGUAAAAGGAAGCCUUUUUUGGUCAUUUUCCGGAUAUAAGCAGUUUUUUUUGCCAACCACUAAAAAGUGUUUAUCAGCUUAUAGCGUUUUGAUACCUAAUAAGCUAAUCCAAACACUUUUGUAGAAAGUCAAUUUUGACACUGCUGGAAGCUAAUAAGCUAUAAGUUAAAAGGUGCUUAUCAUUUUAAAUAAGCUUAGCCAAACACCCUCUUAAUAUCACUGCUUGUUAGCAAUUUGGAACAGAAAUAGAAAAGAAUAGAAGGGAUAAACUAUUAACUCAAUUACAAGCUCUAUCAUAAUCGCUAUUUCUGUAACCAUUACAUUUCUAUGUUUCUUCUAAACAGUUAUCCUUAAAUCAUCUGUUUCGUGUUCGCAGUUUCGUGUACAUUUCUGUAUGUUGGAUUGUUGUUCAGCUUUCAAAUCUUCUUGUCACUGAUUAUCCUUAGGGUUUUAUUUUUCUGUUUGUGUUGAAUUUAUGCUUAAAGUUUACAAUUUGGAAGAGAAAUAGAAAAUAAUAGAAGGCAUGUAUGCCUAUAGCAUCAUGUAUUAUCAUAAUCUUUCUUUUAGAAGUUACAUUUCCAUGUUUUUUGUACACAAAGGACCUUGAAUUCAUCUGAAUGCAUUUGUAGUUUUGUUCUACACUUUCGUGAACAAACCUAAUUUAUGUAUGUUCAAUGCACGGUUCAAAUUUCUCAUCUUUUUUGUAGUGUUUAUCCUUAAGCUUCUUAAUUUUCUGUUUAUAUUGCAUUUAUACCUAAUAUCACGGGCCUAAACCACCUGAUGCUCACCCCUUGUUUAUGCGUCUGUUUUCUUACAACAGAUUCAAACACAAUUCAAGAGAUGAGAGGCAUUGAGCUAUCAUUGAAUCAAACACAGAAACUAAGGCUGCAAAGAGCACUCGAACUGUUGGAAUCUCUGUCUUCAGGAACCAAUUCUGAUGCUUCCGUCACUGUGGCCGAUUCUAUCCCCGUUAACCAAGAAGAUGGUGUUCUCAAGUAAAUAUAAACCCUAACUAAUGUUUACUUUCCAUAUGCAAAUGUUAUAUUGUGUGUUUUAUGUGAAUUUUGAUUUUUAUUUAUGUACUGCAUGUAACGAUGCCGAAAAGUAUGAGCAAGUACCAACUUUGUAAUUACAAAUCAUGUCCAUUUCCAUCCUCAUUUAUCCUAAUGUAGUCUUAGGAAUCAUGGAAUUCGUGCGUUAAGCUUAAAUUUUGAAAUGAUUUUUUCCUUCUUUUUUCCAUAUUGUAAUAUUUUUAGGGGUCAUGGGACGACAGAGCUUGAGGGUGAGGUCGUGGCAACCGUGUGUGGAGUAAUCGAACGUGUAAAUAAAUUGGUCUAUGUUCGCACUUUGAGAGCCAGGUCAUCAGCAAUAUAUUUACCUGAAUUUUUAUGUUUCAUAAGAGUGGAAGCAAAAUGCUUAAUGCUGAAUCUGAAAUUGGUGUAGGUAUAAGCCUGAGGUUGGUGAUAUCAUAGUAGGCCGUGUUAUUGAGGCAAGUCCUAACUCGAUUUACUGCUUCUGUUCACUUUAGUACUAUACCAAUAGCUUAAUCUGCCUGCAUAUAUGCAAUUCUUCUCAAGUGAAAAGAUAAAAUUUGUAGCAGUUGCGUUAAAAUGUUUGAUACAAGUGAGGAAUGUGUUGUUAAGUUGAUCAGUGGGUAGUUAGUAUUUUGGUUAACAGAGUUUUGUUUUUCAUGAUAUAUAUGAAGGUUGCUCCAAAGCGGUGGAGAUUGGAGAUUAAUUUUAGCCAAGAUGCGGUAUUGAUGCUUUCUUCAAUGAAUUUACCUGAUGGAAUCCAGGUAUAUAUCUCCCACUAUGUCAUAUGGUCAUGUUAACGUGUAUGAAUGCUCUGUGUAUGCUUCCUGGCUUAGUUUUUUUUUUUGUUAUAAUGCGAGAAAGAUGUAUGAUGUGUAGAUUAGUGUACCUAUCAACUUUGUUUCUUUGUUAUUUCCAAACUUGUUUGGAUUGUUGUGUUUUGUCUUUCUCAUGACCAUCCUUAAAUUGGCAGAGGCGACGGACUGCAGUUGAUGAGCUCAACAUGCGUACCAUUUUUGAAGAGAAUGACGUCAUCUGUGUAAGCCCAUAAAUCUCGUGCGUUUAUUCAUACAAGAAAGGCCUUUUUUUUUUUAAAACUCCAUGUAUUGUUCGAAAUGAAGUGCUGUCCGGAUAAAUGAUGUUUAUAACAUAUCUGAGAAAAGACGAUACACUUGGAUAAAGUGGAAGAAACCAAUACAUUAAUGCAAGUUUAUAUAAAAAAGUUAGAUUUGAUUAUUUUCCUGAAUUUCUCUAUUAAGUAAAAAAGAAACACUCACUUAGUUAAGUCCAUUUUGUAAAAAAGAAAGAAACAACACUUUAGUAUUCAUUGUGUUAUUUAUACUCGAUGAAUGCCCCGAUUAAUCAUUAUGCUGUUUGUUGUAGGCUGAAGUCCGUGAUUUCAUGCGUGAUGGUAGUCUACAACUGCAAGCAAGGAGCCAGAAAUAUGGAAAGGUUUGGCUUGCUUUACUAUGUAACCUAUGUGUUUAUGUUGUCUUUUCUUGUCCACAAGUAUGGAAAGAUUCUAAUUCCUUCCAAGAAAAUUUUUCAUUUUGUGAGCCUGUUGGUGUAUCUUAAUGGAAGAUGAGUUUGGAUGAUGUGAUUCUUUUUAGCUUAAUGAUUUAAUGAUGAUGGUAAUUCACUAAUUUGCACGUGCAGCUAGAAAGGGGUCAGAUGCUGACAGUAUCUCCAUAUCUAGUAAAGAGGCGCAAACAACAUUUCCAUCAUCUACAACAGUAUGGAAUCGACCUCAUACUUGGUUGUAAUGGCUUCAUCUGGGUUGGUGAACAUGUCGAAACUAAAGAUAACAUGGUAGAAGACGAACCAAUUAAACCCCCAAACAAAUCACAAACAACCCUUGAAGAACAAGAACAGACCUACACUCCAUUAGAAACCAGGCAAAACAUAUGCAGGAUUGCAAAUGCUAUCAGGGUGUUGUCAACAUUGGGAUUUAGCAUUACACUUGAUGUGAUUCAGGAGGUUGUUGAUCUGAGCAGCUCCAAGGGCCUGAAUAUACAUGAGAUGCUUGCUGCUGAGUUUUCUGUUUUGGUUGCUGAAAGAGAAGCUGAGCGAAGAAGCUCCUCAACCUCAACUCAAAGAAAACGAUAAGAUUCAUAUCUUAUAUAAUCUAUAUGUAUGGCCAUUAUAUAUAGUUUCUACUCCUUACUCCUUAAUAGAAAACUAAUCUGUAUCAUUACCAUUGAAGGAUUUAUUGGAUUGUGGAAUGUGGAUCAACUUGAAUUUUUACUCCUUACUCCGUUACAUUUCUAUGUUUCUUCUAAAAAGUUAUCCUUGAAUCAUCUGUUUCGUGCUCGCAGUUUUGUUCAAUGUGCUGUAAAUAAUUUUACAUUCCUGUAUGUUCGAUUGUUGUUCAACUUUCAAAUAUUCUUGUCACUGAUUAUCCUUAGGGUUUUAUUUUUCUGUUUGUGUUGAAUUUGUGCUUAAACUUUACAAUUUGGAAGAGAAAUAGAAAAUAAUAGAAGGCAUAGCAUAAUUUCAUGUGUUAUCAUAAUUUUUCUUUUAGAAGUUACAUUUCCAUGUUUUUUGUACACAAAGGACCUUGAAUUCAUCUAAAUGCAUUUGUAGUUUUUUUCUCCACUUUUGUGAACAAACCUAGUUUAUGUAUGUUCAAUGCACAGUUCAAAUUUCUCAUAUUUUUUUGUAGUGUUUAUCCUUAAGCUUCUUAAUUUUCUGUUUAUAUUGCAUUUAUACCUAAUAUCAUCAACUCUUAACAGUUAAGUCCAUAACUAUCAUCAUAAUUGUUAAACUAAAUUUUUUCUUGUAAACAAUGAACCUGAAGUUCAUCUGUUCUUCUGAGUAAGCCUAAUGGGUCCUCAUACUCCUUUGGAA